rnacentral:rRNA from 1 species
UACAGAGGGGGCAAGCGUUGUUCGGAAUUACUGGGCGUAAAGGGCGCGUAGGCGGCCUGUUAAGUCGAACGUGAAAUCCCCGGGCUCAACCCGGGAACUGCGUCCGAUACUGGCAGGCUUGAAUUCGGGAGAGGGAUGUGGAAUUCCAGGUGUAGCAGUGAAAUGCGUAGAUAUCUGGAGGAACACCGGUGGCGAAGGCGGCGGGCUGGUCCAUCACUGACGCUGAGGCGCGACAGCGUGGGGAGCAAACAGG